rnacentral:tRNA from 1 species
CACUGUGAAGCUAAUAAAGCGUUAACCUUUUAAGUUAAAGUCAGAGACAUAUAGUCUCCAUAGUGA